rnacentral:rRNA from 1 species
AGAGUUUGAUCCUGGCUCAGAUUGAACGCUAGCGGGAUGCUUUACACAUGCAAGUCGAACGGCAGCACGAGAGAGCUUGCUCUCUUGGUGGCGAGUGGCGGACGGGUGAGUAAUGUAUCGGAACGUGCCCAGUAGCGGGGGAUAACUACUCGAAAGAGUGGCUAAUACCGCAUACGCCCUACGGGGAAAGGGGGGGAUCGCAAGACCUCUCACUAUUGGAGCGGCCGAUAUCGGAUUAGCUAGUUGGUGGGGUAAAGGCCUACCAAGGCGACGAUCCGUAGCUGGUUUGAGAGGACGACCAGCCACACUGGGACUGAGACACGGCCCAGACUCCUACGGGAGGCAGCAGUGGGGAAUUUUGGACAAUGGGGGAAACCCUGAUCCAGCCAUCCCGCGUGUGUGAUGAAGGCCUUCGGGUUGUAAAGCACUUUUGACAGGGAAGAAAUGAUAGAGGCUAAUAACCUCUGUAGAUGACGGUACCUGUAGAAUAAGCACCGGCUAACUACGUG